AGGGGAGUCCCCGCACCAGGUUGAGACGACUUUCCUUCCUCAGCUUCCCCGCCCUCUCUCUCCGAAUUCUUGAAUUCUUCAGCCCGGGCCGCCGCUGCCCUCCUGGUCCCUCCGGGCCGCACGCGCGGCAGGGAGCGAGCAGCAUCCGGUCCCUUCCGGAGCGCGCAGGCGGCGCCUUCUCAGCGUGCGCCCGGGGUGGGUCGACAGCGACCGGGACGGGAGGCGGGAGCGUUCCCGGAGGCUGCGGAGAGCCCCGCUUUGUCUCAAGGGACCGCUGGGAAGUUUCCUCCUUUUCCCGCCCGCAUCCCUCUCCUUCCAGGUGCUCCAGGAAGUCGCCGGAGCUGAAGGUGAAGAAACUGAGGCCCAGAAAGGUGCUAGCAGCAAUAGUGACUAACAGAAUUUUUAGCUGAGCGUUGGACCACCUGGAAUAAAUACUUCCCAGAUGCCUUUGAGCUAGUGUUGCCAUUUAACUAAGUUCUGGCCAGUGAGAUGUAAGUGGAACUGCCCUGUGGCAGCUUGAGAACCUUCCUGAAGAGAAGGCUGGGACAUGUUUUUUGUCAGUCUUCUCUCACAUUCCUCCAUCUUCCUGCCUGGAACACAGAUGUUUUGGACAAUGAAGUUGAAACAUCACAUUAUGAAGGAACCAGAGAAAAAGAGCCGGGCUCUCUGCAUAUGGAGCACCAUAUUAGCCCUGAACUGCCUGCAUGGACUUUAAAACAAGAGAGAAAUAAACAUUUAUCCUGCUUAAGCCACUGCAGUUAGGGCUUUCUGUCAGUUCCAGUCAAACCUAACCCUACUGAACGCACCAGCUUUAAGGUUCACUGAGUCCACGUGGGGAGCAAACCACUACCUAUUUAAAAUCCAAUUAAAAAGACAUAGACUGUUUUUCUUUGUUCUUGUGGAUAACACAGAUAAAAAAGAAAAACAAACAAAAAUAGAUAUCAUAGUGGAAAACAUUUUCUACAAUACAGCUGAAACGUAA
rnacentral:lncRNA from 1 species